rnacentral:rRNA from 1 species
UAAUUGAAGAGUUUGAUCAUGGCUCAGAUUGAACGCUGGCGGCAGGCUUAACACAUGCAAGUCGAGCGGUAGCAGGGAGAAAGCUUGCUUUCUCCGCUGACGAGCGGCGGACGGGUGAGUAAUGUCUGGGGAUCUGCCUGAUGGAGGGGGAUAACUACUGGAAACGGUAGCUAAUACCGCAUAACGUCGCAAGACCAAAGUGGGGGACCUUCGGGCCUCAUGCCAUCAGAUGAACCCAGAUGGGAUUAGCUAGUAGGUGGGGUAAUGGCUCACCUAGGCGACGAUCCCUAGCUGGUCUGAGAGGAUGACCAGCCACACUGGAACUGAGACACGGUCCAGACUCCUACGGGAGGCAGCAGUGGGGAAUAUUGCACAAUGGGCGCAAGCCUGAUGCAGCCAUGCCGCGUGUAUGAAGAAGGCCUUCGGGUUGUAAAGUACUU